rnacentral:rRNA from 1 species
UACAGAGGAGCCAAGCGUUGUCCGGAUUGACUGGGCGUAAAGCGCACGCAGGCGGUCGCGCGCGUGGGGGGUGAAAUCUGGCCGCUUAACGGCCAGGCGCCAUCCCAUACGGCACGACUGGAGUGAUGCAGAGGUCGGUGGAAUUGCCGGUGUAGUGGUGAAAUGCGUAGAUAUCGGGAGGAACACCUGUGGCGAAAGCGGCGCACUGGACCACAUCUGACGCUGAGGCGCGAAAGCUAGGGGAGCAAACAGG